rnacentral:rRNA from 1 species
GAUGAACGCUGGCGGCGUGCCUAAUACAUGCAAGUCGAGCGAACAGGCGAGGAGCUUGCUCCUCUGACGUUAGCGGCGGACGGGUGAGUAACACGUGGAUAACCUACCUAUAAGACUGGGAUAACUUCGGGAAACCGGAGCUAAUACCGGAUAAUAUAUUGAACCGCAUGGUUCAAUAGUGAAAGACGGUUUUGCUGUCACUUAUAGAUGGAUCCGCGCCGCAUUAGCUAGUUGGUAAGGUAACGGCUUACCAAGGCAACGAUGCGUAGCCGACCUGAGAGGGUGAUCGGCCACACUGGAACUGAGACACGGUCCAGACUCCUACGGGAGGCAGCAGUAGGGAAUCUUCCGCAAUGGGCGAAAGCCUGACGGAGCAACGCCGCGUGAGUGAUGAAGGCCUUCGGAUCGUAAAACUCUGUUAUUAGGGAAGAACAAAUGUGUAAGUAACUAUGCACGUCUUGACGGUACCUAAUCAGAAAGCCACGGCUAACUACGUG